CACAGAGAAGCCAACCUCACUGCCCUGGUUGCCAUUGGACCUCGCAGGACGGGACCACUUGACUCCCCUGGAAACCAGGUGUGGCCAGCAGACAGUAUGUCAGUACUACAGAGGGCUGGGGUUCAGAGGAUGACUUGGGUCUCUCUGCCUGGAACAGGACCCUCCUCUACGACACUCUCAAGUCCCUGCUUUAGUGAGAACAGUGUGAUUAAACAGCAUAAUACAAUCCAUCUCUCUUCCA